UCUGGUGCCAGCAGCCGCGGUAAUUCCAGCUCCAAUAGCGUAUAUUAAAGUUGUUGCAGUUAAAAAGCUCGUAGUUGAAUUUCGGGAUUGACGUGAUGGUCGUGCCUUAAGGGGUAUGAACUGUCGUUGUUGAUUUCUCACCUUCUGGAGAAGCUCGAUGCCUUAAUGGAUGUCUUGGGACCA
rnacentral:rRNA from 1 species